rnacentral:rRNA from 1 species
CCUACGGGUGGCUGCAGUGAGGAAUAUUGGUCAAUGGGCGGAAGCCUGAACCAGCCAAGUAGCGUGCGGGAUGAAGGCCCUCCGGGUCGUAAACCGCUUUUGCACGGGGAUAACACUCUCCACUUGUGGAGGUCUGCAGGUACCGUGCGAUUACGGGCCGGCGAAUCCAGUGCCAGCAGCCGCGGUACCCCCCCCCCCCCGACCGUUACCCGGAUUCAUUGGGCUAAAAGGGAGCGUAGGCGGGCGUUCACGUUAGCUGUAAAAUCGCGCGGCUCAACCGCGCCCCGCCGUGGAAACUGGACGCCUUGAGUUCACAACAGGCAGGCGGAAUUCGAGGUGUAGCGGUGAAAUGCAUAGAUAUCACGAGGAACCCCGAUGGCGAAGGCAGCCUGCCGGGGUGCGACUGACGCUGAGGGUCGAAGGUGCGGGUAUCAAACAGGAUUAGAUACCCGAGUAGUC